AGGAUAAUAGUUUAUAAAAACAUUUAACUUGCAUUUAAAAAAUAUCUCACGAUUUAUCUUA
rnacentral:tRNA from 1 species